GCGCAGCAGUCGCGAAUUUUUCUCAAUGGGGGCAACCCUGAAGGAGCGACGCCGCGUGGAGGAUGAAGGCUUUCGGGUUGUAAACUCCUGUCAUUUGAGAACAAGUGUGGGCAAGUAACUACUGCCUACUUGAUAGUAUCAGAAGAGGAAGAGACGGCUAACUCUGUGCCAGCAGCCGCGGUAAUACAGAGGUCUCAAGCGUUGUUCGGAUUCAUUGGGCGUAAAGGGUGCGUAGGUGGCGCGCUAAGUCGGGUGUGAAAUCUCGGGGCUUAACUCCGAAACUGCAUUUGAUACUGGCGUGCUUGAGGACUGGAGAGGAGACUGGAAUUCACGGUGUAGCAGUGAAAUGCGUAGAGAUCAUGAGGAAGACCAGUGGCGAAGGCGGGUCUCUGGACAGUUCCUGACACUGAGGCACGAAGGCCAGGGGAGCAAACGGGAUUAGAUAUCCUGUAGU
rnacentral:rRNA from 1 species